GAUGAACGCUAGCGACAGGCCUAACACAUGCAAGUCGAGGGGCAGCGGGGAGUGGCAACACUCUGCCGGCGACCGGCGCACGGGUGAGUAACGCGUAUGCAACCUGCCCGCACCAGGGGGAUAACCGGGAGAAAUCCCGUCUAAUACCGCGUAACGCCUCAAGGGGGCAUCCCCAUGAGGCCAAAGGGUUUCCGGGAGCGGAUGGGCAUGCGUGACAUUAGCUAGUUGGCGGGGUAACGGCCCACCGAGGCGACGAUGGAUAGGGGUUCUGAGAGGAAGGUCCCCCCACAUUGGAACUGAGACACGGUCCAAACUCCUACGGGAGCAGCAGUGAGGAAUAUUGGUCAAUGGGCGAGAGCCUGAACCAGCCAAGUAGCGCGAAGGAUGACUGCCCUA
rnacentral:rRNA from 1 species